UCAGUUGUGAAAGUUUGCGGCUCAACCGUAAAAUUGCAGUUGAUACUGGAUGUCUUGAGUGCAGUUGAGGCAGGCGGAAUUCGUGGUGUAGCGGUGAAAUGCUUAGAUAUCACGAAGAACUCCGAUUGCGAAGGCAGCCUGCUAAGCUGCAACUGACAUUGAGGCUCGAAAGUGUGGGUAUCAAACAGGAUUAGAUACCCUGGUAGUCCACACGGUAAACGAUGAAUACUCGCUGUUUGCGAUAUACGGCAAGCGGCCAAGCGAAAGCGUUAAGUAUUCCACCUGGGGAGUACGCCGGCAACGGUGAAACUCAAAGGAAUUGACGGGGGCCCACACAAGCGGAGGAACAUGUGGUUUAAUUCGAUGAUACGCGAGGAACCUUACCCGGGCUUAAAUUGCACUCGAAUGAUCCGGAAACGGUUCAGCUAGCAAUAGCGAGUGUGAAGGUGCUGCAUGGUUGUCGUCAGCUCGUGCCGUGAGGUGUCGGCUUAAG
rnacentral:rRNA from 1 species